UUUAGGUUUUUUUUUUUUUUUUUUUUUUUUUAGACAUGAUGUCUAAUUCCUCCCAUUCAAAUCCUUGUGUUGAUUCCUCUAGUCCUUAUUUUCUUCAUGAUGGAGAAAAUUCAGGAUCUAUGUUGGUUAUAUUGCUGCUUACGGGGGAUAAUUUUCAUACAUGGAAGAGAUCCAUGUCCAUGGCCAUUAGUGCGAAGAACAAAACCCCUCUAUGAAUGGUAGUCUCCUCAAAUCAGCUAAUGAUGAUCCUUGCUUGGUUGCCUGGAUACACUGCAAUGACAUGAAGUUGAAUACAAGGCGAUGGCAUCAGCUACAUGUGAAUUGACUUGGCUCCUUUUUCUACUUGCUAUCUUAUGUAUUUCUCAUUCACAGCUUGCCCUUUUGUUUUGUGAUAACCAGGCAGCCCUUCAUAUUACUUUUGAUCCGGUCUUUUAUGAAAGGAUUAAGCACAUAGAGAUCAAUUGUCACCUGGUUCAUAAGAAAAUUCAAGCUGGCAACAUUAAAACUCUACAAGUUCCAAGUCCUCAUCAGCUAAGUGAUCUUCUUACUACGCCUCUUGGAUCGGUGCAGUUUCAUUUUUUACUUUCUAAUAUGGGUGUUAUUGAUCUAUACACUCCAUCUUGAGGAAGAGUAUCGGUUGUAUAAAAGACGUGUCACAUAGUAAUUUAUUGAGAGAAUAUAAAUACAUGUAUCUGUACAUGAAGACAUGUCAACAAUAGAAAAAUAAUAGAAAUGUAUAUUUUCUUUCUAUCGUA